rnacentral:rRNA from 1 species
GAUGAACGCUGGCGGCGUGCCUAGCACAUGCAAGUCGAGCGAUUCUCUUCGGAGAAGAGCGGCGGACGGGUGAGUAACGCGUGGGUAACCUGCCCUGUACACACGGAUAACAUACCGGAAGGUAUGCUAAUACGGGAUAACAUAAGAAAUUCGCAUGUUUUUCUUAUCAAAGCUCCGGCGGUAAAGGAUGGACCGGCGUCUGAUUCGUUAGUUGGUGAGGUAACGGCCCACCAAGGUGACGAUCAGUGGCCGACCUGAGAGGGUGAUCGGCCACAGUGGCUCUGAGACACGGCCCAAACUCCUACGUGAGGCAGCAGUGUGGAAUAUUGCACAAUGGGCGAAAGCCUGAUGCAGCAGCGCCGCGUGAGCGAGGAAGGCCUUUGGGUCGUACAGCUCUGUCCUUGGGGAAGAAACAAAUGACGGUACCCAAGGAGGAAGCCCCGGCUAACUACGUGCCAGCAGCCGCCGUAAAAC